AGUCAGAGCUGGCUGCUCCAGGGAGCAGACAGAGGCUGGGAAUCCAGCUCCCACCUGCUCCCUGGAGCAGCCAGCUCCAUGC
rnacentral:pre_miRNA from 1 species